AGAGUUUGAUCCUGGCUCAGAUUGAACGCUGGCGGCAUGCCUUACACAUGCAAGUCGAACGGUAACGCGGGGCAACCUGGCGACGAGUGGCGAACGGGUGAGUAAUGCAUCGGAACGUGCCCAGUAGUGGGGGAUAGCCCGGCGAAAGCCGGAUUAAUACCGCAUACGACCUACGGGUGAAAGCGGGGGACUCGCAAGAGCCUCGCGCUAUUGGAGCGGCCGAUGUCAGAUUAGCUAGUUGGUGGGGUAAAAGCCUACCAAGGCGACGAUCUGUAGCUGGUCUGAGAGGACGACCAGCCACACUGGGACUGAGACACGGCCCAGACUCCUACGGGAGGCAGCAGUGGGGAAUUUUGGACAAUGGGCGCAAGCCUGAUCCAGCCAUGCCGCGUGCGGGAAGAAGGCCUUCGGGUUGUAAACCGCUUUUGUCAGGGAAGAAACGCUCUGGGCUAAUACCCCGGGGUAAUGACGGUACCUGAAGAAUAAGCACCGGCUAACUACGUGCCAGCAGCCGCGGUAAUACGUAGGGUGCAAGCGUUAAUCGGAAUUACUGGGCGUAAAGCGUGCGCAGGCGGUUAUGCAAGACAGAUGUGAAAUCCCCGGGCUCAACCUGGGAACUGCAUUUGUGACUGCAUAGCUAGAGUACGGUAGAGGGGGAUGGAAUUCCGCGUGUAGCAGUGAAAUGCGUAGAUAUGCGGAGGAACACCGAUGGCGAAGGCAAUCCCCUGGACCUGUACUGACGCUCAUGCACGAAAGCGUGGGGAGCAAACAGGAUUAGAUACCCUGGUAGUCCACGCCCUAAACGAUGUCAACUGGUUGUUGGACGGCUUGCUGUUCAGUAACGAAGCUAACGCGUGAAGUUGACCGCCUGGGGAGUACGGCCGCAAGGUUGAAACUCAAAUGAAUUGACGGGGACCCGCACAAGCGGUGGAUGAUGUGGUUUAAUUCGAUGCAACGCGAAAAACCUUACCUACCCUUGACAUGUCAAGAAUCUUGCAGAGAUGUGAGAGUGCUCGAAAGAGAACUUGAACACAGGUGCUGCAUGGCCGUCGUCAGCUCGUGUCGUGAGAUGUUGGGUUAAGUCCCGCAACGAGCGCAACCCUUGUCAUUAGUUGCUACGAAAGGGCACCCUAAUGAGACUGCCGGUGACAAACCGGAGGAAGGUGGGGAUGACGUCAGGUCCUCAUGGCCCUUAUGGGUAGGGCUACACACGUCAUACAAUGGCCGGUACAGAGGGCUGCCAACCCGCGAGGGGGAGCUAAUCCCAGAAAACCGGUCGUAGUCCGGAUCGCAGUCUGCAACUCGACUGCGUGAAGUCGGAAUCGCUAGUAAUCGCGGAUCAGCUUGCCGCGGUGAAUACGUUCCCGGGUCUUGUACACACCGCCCGUCACACCAUGGGAGCGGGUUCUGCCAGAAGUAGUUAGCCUAACCGCAAGGGGGGCGAUUACCACGGCAGGGUUCGUGACUGGGGUGAAGUCGAAACAAGGUA
rnacentral:rRNA from 1 species